AUUUAGCUGACGAGUCCCAAAUAAGAUGAGAUAUGCGUCCUGGAU
rnacentral:hammerhead_ribozyme from 1 species